GGGUGAGUAGCUUAGCGGUUAGUGUAUUAAAGCAACUACAGCGGACGGCUGUGGACCGUCAGACCCGGGUUCGAAUCCCGGCUCACCCACCA
rnacentral:tRNA from 1 species